GCGCGGGUGGCAAAUCGGGGGCAGCCUUCCCCACCAUCAAGCUGUUCCUCUGGCUCCUCGUCUUACUCAAGAGUGGUAAGCGGCAGAAGC
rnacentral:SRP_RNA from 1 species